CCAUUAUUUCACUAUAUCAGCAUUGUAAUGUUCUGUGCUCGACGUCUCGAGAAUAUCAGUGCUGCUCUUUCAUACUUAGCAAGGAUCCUUUGCAAGUAUUUUAUCUCCAUCAACGUACUUGACUUGAUUAGUUGUUUCAAAUGUGCUCUAAUCCAUCUCUAUGCUUCAGUGUUUCCAUGUUAUUUAUAAACAAUGUCUUCCAUUUAAUUAGUACCAUCCCGUCUUUGUUUUAUAUCCGUCCACAUUCGGAAAGAGACUGAUGCUGCAUUAAUGUAAUUAUUUUGCUCAAUUCCUUGCAAAUUGUCUGAAAAUGCCUGCAUUGAAAUGCAAAGUAAAUGGCGCCCUGAAUGACUU